rnacentral:rRNA from 1 species
UACGAAGGGGGCUAGCGUUGUUCGGAAUUACUGGGCGUAAAGCGUGCGCAGGCGGCUUCUCAAGUCAGGGGUGAAAGCCCAGAGCUCAACUCUGGAAUUGCCUUUGAGACUGAGUGGCUUGAGUACGAGAGAGGUGAGUGGAAUUCCCAGUGUAGAGGUGAAAUUCGUAGAUAUUGGGAAGAACACCGGUGGCGAAGGCGGCUCACUGGCUCGUAACUGACGCUCAGCGCGACGCGAUGGGCGUGGAACAAGCAUG